AUCAUUACCGAGUUAUACUCCAAACCCUUUGUGAACCUUACCAUUGUUAUGUUGCCUCGGCGGGGUUAGCCCCCAAAGCUUCUCCCGCCGGCAGCACUAAAUUCUUAAUUUUAUAGCGGAUUACACUUCUGAAUACAAUACAAAACAAAUAAAAACUUUCAACAACGGAUCUCUUGGUUCUGGCAUCGAUGAAGAACGCAGCGAAAUGCGAUAAGUAAUGUGAAUUGCAGAAUUCAGUGAAUCAUCGAAUCUUUGAACGCACAUUGCGCCCGGCAGUAAUCUGCCGGGCAUGCCUGUCCGAGCGUCAUUUCAACCCUCGAGCCUAAGUUUUUUAAACCAAAGGAUCGGUGUUGGGGCGCUACAGCGGUUCUUCGGAGCUGCUGUAGGCCCUGAAAUACAGUGGCGGUCCCGCCGCGGCGCCUUCUGCGUAGUAAACUUACACAUCGCAUUAGGUCCCGGCGAAGGCCAGCCGUCAAACCCUCUAUUUUUAUGGU
rnacentral:rRNA from 1 species